AUGGCUCAGGAUGAACGCUAGCUACAGGCCUAACACAUGCAAGUCGAGGGCAGCAGAUCGAAAGCUUGCUUUGAUGCUGGCGACCGGCGAAUGGGUGAGUCACGCGUGUCCAACCUGCCCUGUGCCCGGGGAUAGCCCUUGGAAAUGAGGAUUAACACCCGAUAGGUGGCGCUUCCGCAUGGCGGCGCCAUGAAACCGACACAGGAUGGGGACGCGUCGGAUUAGCUUGACGGCGGGGCGACGGCCCACCGUGGCGACGAUCCGCAGGGGUUCUGAGAGGAAGGUCCCCCCACACUGGCACUGAGACACGGGCCAGACUCCUACGGGAGGCAGCAGUGAGGAAUAUUGGUCAAUGGCCGAGAGGCUGAACCAGCCAAGUAAGCGUGCAGGACGACGGCCCUACGGGUUGUAAACUGCUUUUGCGGGAGGAUAAAGGACGCCACGUGUGGCGUUUUGCAGGUAUCCCGUGAAUAAGGACCGGCUAAUUCCGUGCCAGCCGCCGC
rnacentral:rRNA from 1 species